UCAUGAACAGGCCCGCCCCUUGCUAGAUAACCCCGCCCAAUUAAUACACCCAUUACUUCACAGAGGAUACUCAAGGUUUUGCUACGAAUUUUUAAAAUAAAGCUGGAGUUCUGCCAACUAUUCAACAGUCAGUGACAGACAUGGACGCUCUUUGGGCGAGCAACGUCAUUCGUGUGCACGGGGAAAGACGCAGUUGCCGGCGGAAGUGGAUAUUUCAUCACAACAUCUGGUUUCGGAAACCAAUGAAGGGUGCGACUCCGGUGCCAGGCCCGACCAUUAUGAGAGGAACUGAUGGGUCAGGUGGAAGUCGAAAGGAGCAGUUGGGUCUCAAACUCACAUAGACCUGACGGAGAGAGUGUCACAAUGUGCAUUCCAAAUAAUGAAAGUAAUUAGAACACUGCUGAAAAGCCACUGUGGGCCUCCCAAUCUAUUAAUUGAUCUACUUAACAUUCUAAGACAGACUAAUGAGAAAACUUAUGAGCUCCAACUAAAAUCCAUAGAGUGUAGAGAGAGAGGAUUUAGUUGCUUUCAUUCAAAUUACAUUUUGUUUUAAUCGACAACACAAAAACAGGCCCAAAACUUGCCAGUUGGUGGAGUCUCACGAAUUAAGAAGUGAGAGUAGGGUAAUGAAAAGCAAAUAAUGAAACCAGCUCAUUCCGACAGCGCUGGCUUUGCCAAGACUUGAAUAGUUCUCAUUUGAACAUUUCCCCAAUUUUUUAACCUUUGAAUUAAAGCAGAAUUGUGUACCUAAAAUUAAACUAAGAACAAAUUACAACAUCAUCAGAAGGGUUUGAUUUUGUGUGUAAUAGCUCAUUGACCCGAAUUUAAUAACAUUUUUAAUAACACAUUUUUGGAAAAAACGUUUUAUUUCAAUUGCGAUAAAAUAAAAUGUCAUACUUCUUAUCUGCUCAACAGUUGUUUACUGCAUUUAUCAUCACCAUUAAAGAGUUUGCAAUACAUUCAUCCGUCAUAAAAAAAAAAUAGGCCGCAAUAAUUGGAUUUAGCACUAUCUUGUAUUAGUUUUUUUAGAUAAUUAUAAUGAUGUCUGAAUGUAUGUAUUGUCAUGACUACUCAGUUCAGCAGGGCUGCACGAUUCAUUGAUAUUAAAUCCUAAUUGGAUUAAACCAGAUGUCGGCAAAUUUACUUUUAAAAGAACCAGAAAACAAGUCUAGAGAGGGGUGCAGCUGUCGAUUAUUUUAGUAUUCUAUCGAUUAGUUCACAUCGUUUGGCCAUUGCCUUCUUUAGGCUUAUAUUGAGCUAGCAAAGCUACAAAAAUAAAAUAAAUAAAAAAGCCUAGGAAAAAAAACAACUUCAAAGCACACAGUAGCAAACAGCAGCACUGCCUGAAUGAAACGUUUGUACAUCAAUGCAUAUUUUUAUUCCGCAUGUGGUUCGUAAAUAGAAAAGUACGUACAAUGGGGGAGUUGUAAAUCGAGGUUCCACUGUAUUUAGAAAAUAGACAAUAUAUAUUAGAAAGAUAAAAUGCAUAAUUUUUUUCACUUUGGAAAUUCACAAUCUGGCUGAGCUUCACUAUGCCUUCUUUUAUUUGAUUUUCCUUUAAACUUCCACAGAUUGUCUAGUGCAGUGGUUCUCAAACCUUUUUUUCCCGAAGUACCACCUCAGAAAAAUACUUAGCUCUCAAAGUACCACCACAAUGACCAAUAUCAAAUUAAAGUAGUGUAGGAGGCCUAAGUAUUCAUUAAAAACAAGGCAAAGGUUUUGUAUUUGAAAACAAUUUUGGCUACUGUAACAUUAUGCAUAGUUUAAACAACACUGUGUUUGAAUAUAGGAAAAUAAAACACUGUACUUUAAUCAAGUGAUUUUUUUUGGGGUGUACCACUAGUGGUACACAUACCAGAGUUUGAGAAUCCCUGGUCUAGUCUAUAACACUACUAUUACAGCUCUCCU